UGUGUAUAAUGCAAACUGUCUGAAUUCAGUUGCUUUCCAACGCUCAAUUUCUUGCAACCCUCUUGGCUUUCUGGCAAAGCAGUCAGGAAUUGUUUUCUUCAGUAUCUCCAGCCUAUUGCUUACACGGGCCACGUCCCCUGAUGACAUGCGGUACUCGGAUCUACCUCUUGUCCACAAUAGCAGCAACUUUUUCAUGACCCCAAGGCAGCUCUGGUGCAUGUAAUCGAUGGGGAAUGAUUUGAUCAUGUCGAUUGGGAGAACAGAGAAAGGCGAAAUCUUCUCCUCGUGAUGGUGUUCUGUUUGCCAACACUCCCUGAAUGAUUGGUCUGUCCUCAAGGUCAGAUUGUCAACAUCUGGAUACGUCAUCCGACCAUCCCAGGAUCCCUUCUGGGUGCAUCUGUCGCACCCAUAGUAGCCGGAGAACUGCUUGACACACUUGACCAUGGCUCUGGCAGGAGCAUCGCAGGUUUGGAUGCAGCAGUGGUGAGGCAGAGGGGGAAAAUACAUGCUGGUGACAAAUUAAUGGAACAAAGAACUGGCCAGAGGGACAGGUUUGAGCUUUUAAAUAAUGGUAGCCCAUCAACAUUUAAGGAGAGGUCCAGUGACUGCAGAUGGUCUGUCACAGCUGCAGGAUAUCUGCUCAGAUGCUUUGAGAGCUGAUCUGCCACACUGAACUGUACACUCUCAACAGCAUCUUUGGUAUCCCUGGUGUCAUAGUUUACUUCCUGGACGAGGAUGCUUUAGCAAUUUCAGCAUUGAACUUGUUCCCAUCCUUUUUGGUCACCUCUCCUGCAUUUGCUGUUUGGAAGUCAUUGCUUGCAUCUGAUUCAGAACCUGCCAUUCUGCAUUUCUGUUUUCAUUCGCUCUGCUUACAUUUUGAACCCUUAGCAAUAAUAAACGUCUUCUAUUUGGACUAUAGUAUAGUGCAUUUCAAGUUUGUUUUUUCUUGAUUGAAUGUGU